GUGCUUCUUGCAACGUCUUUCAAAAGAUGCGUGUCGCAAUUUUAAUAGAUAUAGUUGUAAUCGGCUUACAACAGAAUCAAUUCUGCAAUUAGUGUACGAGUUGUAUCCUUCGUCAGUCUAAAACAUAUAAAAAGCAUGUAAUAAUGUGCUGCAAUAAACCUUUGUUAUUAUUAAAAGCUUUAAGGGCACAUUCAAAAACCGAGGAAUGUUUGUGAAAAUCUUGAAUAUAUGUGACUAUAGUGUUUUGAGUAAAAUUUUCCUUGAAAAAAAAGUUUUAGAACAUAGCCUAAAUAUAGAAACUUACCUGUCCCAGAUAGCACAUGAUAUUCUCAGUAUAUUCUAAAUUAAUACGAAAUCUCCCAUGUAUAUACAUAACAUUCUGAUAAUAUACUGAUAAUAUCGUACGCAGUAUAUAAUGUUUUUAGAAUGUUUCGUAGAUUCUCAGUAUAUUCUAAAUUAAUACGGAAUCUCCAAUAUAUAUACAUAACAUUCUAAUAAUAUACUGUUAAUAUUGUACGUAGUAUAUAAUGUUUUUAGAAUGUUUCGUAGAUUCUCAGUAUAUUCUGAAUUAAUACGGAAUCUCCAAUAUAUAUACAUAACAUUCUGAUGAUAUACUGUUAAUAUCGUACGUAUAUAUUUUACACUCCGGAAAGAAUUGAUGAUCGUGGAUUUACGUAUACUCACGGACUUUUAGGGCCCCCGCACAGACUUUCGCAUAACGCAUAAUAUAAAUGCACAAGAAAUUUGAUUGAUUGAAUUUCUUAUGCACUUUGCCUAUGGACUAAUCAAUUUGCUUAUGUACAUACGUUGUGCGUUAUGUAAAAGUCUGUGCGGAUGCCCUAAUUCUUUCCGAAUUUAAGAGAAAUUAUCUCUACUGCGCCGUCGCGGCGCGGCGCACGCGGCCGCGAUUGCGCUUCUCUAAUUGUUUAUUGUCUUUCCGCUUUUCGCCGUUUUGGUCUAUGCAACGCUGUAAUUUCGCGAUUUGGGUUUGUGAGAACAAAAAUUAAAACAAGAAUUUGAGCUGCAUCAAUAUAUUAACCGUGAAAACCGGGAUCAUUAUCAAUUUGUAGAUACAUAUACGAUUUGCGCUUCCUUAUAUUGAUCUGGUGUGAAUCUUCCGGAAGAUCUUUAGCAAGCAGAUUCUUACAAGAAGCUUGUAAGUACGCUUCUUCGAAUAAUAGUAUUACUUGAUACAUAAAUUUUGCAACAGAAUGCUAUGAUACAAAAAUGUUUGACAGUGCCUUAUGAGAGCAAUCUACAUGACUGCUACAAGAAUAUUUUACAGGUGCAGGUACGUAGUACAUGUUUCUUGCAAAAAUCUAUGUACAGAAUCUCGCGAAAGAUCAUGUAUGACUACUGGCAGAAGCUUGUAAGAAUAUCAGCAGGUUUACAGCUACUGGAGAAAUUGUUAUUUUGUCUAUGUGACACUGGUUCUAAAGUAUCGUUUGGCAUCACAGAAAAAAUAUCAAAAAAUAUUUGCAGAUAUAAAAUUCUUGUAGCAGUCUUACAGAUUGCUCUUGUAAGGCACUAGCAGACAUUUUUGCAUCGUAGUAUUUUAUUGUAAGAUUUGUAUCAGGUAAUACGUGGCACUAUACUGAUAUAUUGUUUCAUAUCUAUUCGCAUUUCAGCGUAUUCCCAAUAUAGAGACACGACUCACGCUUGGAGACUGUGGAUUUUGUUAUUACAAAAAUGUUUUAUAUUGAGUAAUUAGUUUUCUAUUGCUCGGUCAUUUGCAAAUGGCCCCUGAUAAGCAGCAUCAUCAUCUUCUAAAGGUAAUUUGUGUUUUUUUAACCUGCUUGCAUUAACAAAAUUCCUGUCUCUAAGAACAUUUUCAUAGCAAAAGGCUUCCACAGAGAAUAAUUUUUUGGGUCACGAAAAGCAUGAAGUAUCGUGUCUCUAAACAUGAAUAGAAUCCAAGCGUGACUCGUGUCUCCAUUGCAGGCACAAAAGGCAAAAGUAAACAUCGUGAUUUUCUUUUUUCACGAGUCUUUGCUAAUGCUUAUAAAAAUGUAUUUUGGAAUUACAACUGUAUAUGUGCAUUUGUAUAUAACUGUUGUUGAGCUUGGGUACGAUAACUUGCAAUGACUAUAUAUGUAUGUCAUCUUCAAGACCCAUACAGCACAGAGGGUUUCAGAAAGCUUUCAGAAAGGUUGAAAUAGUACUGAAAGCAAGGUUUCUGAAAGAUCCUGAAACAUUCUGCAGCUUUUUGAAAAAUUAUGUGCUGUAUGCGGAAUAACAAUCAUUUUAUAAUUCUCUUUGGGAUUGCCAUACGAUAUUCUGUAAUAUAAAAUUAAAGAAAUAUGUAAAAGCACAAAUACAUAUAGUUGUGUUAAAUCAAAACUGUAACCGUUGUUUUUCAAUUGCUGCACUCAUAAGUUUUAAAUAUUUCAUUUUAUUAUAAUACAAAUUUAAAUAUAUUUUUAAUUUUAAUUUUUAUAUUUUAUGAAUACAACCUUCAUUCACAGUUUCUCUAUUUUGAUCCUGAAAAUAAAAAAAUUAAAAUUAAAAUUUUGCACUACGAUUUAUUAUUAAGGGGUGCCUUGAGUGCUCGGAAAUGGUGUAAGGGAUGGAAUAAACAAUAAUGGAAUUUUACGUCAAAUUUUUGAAACAUACAUUUUUAUACUUCGUUCAACAAGAGACUGUAGCACCUCCGCGCAUAAGCGGGCCAAGUGGGGAGGACAUGACGCUCAGAGGGGCCCGAUACCACUUGUUACUGACUCUGGUAAGCUGCAUGAGCAAUAUAGCGGUGUGGAAGGGGGCUUUCUGGAGACGAGUUUUCGUCCGAGGGUGCUACAGUCUUUCGUUGAACGAAGUAUAAGUAGUUUCUUUACAGGAAUAUUCUUCCUUACGUUUGCUGCCGGAUGAAUCAAUACAAUUACAAUUUGUCUUGGAAUAAUACCCAACAUAAUUAUUGAAAUAUAAUGACACGAUUUGGAAGAUUAAAUACCUGUUAAAAUUUUAAAAUAAGCAUUUAAAAUUUUUGUAAUUUUUUGUAAAUUUUUGUGAAUUCUAUUUACAAGAGAUUUCAAACAUUUAUUUUGAAAUUUUGACAUAUUUCUAAUUGCCAAAUCAUGUCGCUAUUUCAAUAAUUAUUUUGCGUAUUAUUCGAAAGCGGGUCAUAAUAUUGAUUGUUACAUUGAUUCACCCGUGCAGUGAUAUAUAUUUUAUUUUUAAUUAGCCAUUUUGUUAAUAAAGUACUAAACAUUUAAAAAAUUUUAAUCGUCUUAUUAUAUAUGUUACUAAACUAAAGUUACCAGGAAAAAUUGUUUUGAUACUCACUUUUUAUGGUUGCGACACGCCCACUUGUUUAUUGAUAAAAAUGUCAAGUAUCCAUUCAAUUACUUAUGAUGUAACAUAGAUUAUAUCUGCAUUCAAUUUGUUGUUUCAUAGGAUUAAAAUUAGAUUAUUACACAAUAAAUUCCAAAUAAAUGGUACAAAAUGCGAAAAAGUAUUUGGAAUAUCUCUGAGAGACAGAUUCGUAGACUUGCGGAACAAGAAGCGAAUAUGAUAAUAGAUUCACAUUUUGAAUCGCUUCCGGAUGAGAAACCGCAAUAUAGUUCUACUGUUGUAAACUGCGAACAAAUAGGCAAACAAGUACUGACAGAUAUGGAAGUAGAUAGAUGUGGAGCUAUGGAAGAGGAAGAAGAGCAUAAUAAUCGGGACGUUGAAGAAUGGGAUAAGGUGGAAGAGAAGAAACAGGAGGAAGAAAUUGAAGAAGAAAAAUGGGAAUAUGAAGAAAUGACGGCUGAUGAAGAUCACAGAAUUAACGAAGUGAAUGAAGACCUUGCACAAGAUACAUUAACUGAGGAUGAAAGCGAUGACAAUAUUCGAGAACGAGAUAAUUUAAAAGAAUUUCUCGCAAAUUGGUCAGUUCAGUUUAAUAUCUCACACGUCGCAUUGAAAUCACUGCUAAAAAAAUUGAAAGAAUAUCCUGUUCACGAAAAUUUGCCUUUGGAUCCGCGAUCAUUGUUAAGUACGCCAAGAAAUAUAAAAAUAAGAAAUGUCCUUCCUGAAAAAUAUUGCCACGUAAGCUUAUCAAAGGGGAUAAAAUCUAUUGUAUCUCGUAUGUCGACUAUGCCGGAAGGUCUUAUCAAAAUAUCUAUCAAUAUCGACGGUUUGCCAUUGUCAAAGUCAUCGCAGAAACAGCUGUGGCCUAUAUUGGGAUCCGUGAAACCAUUCAAAAAUGUUUUUGUAAUUGGCAUAUAUUACGGAGAAGAAAAACCAAAGGAUGUCAAUAAUUUCUUAAAGAAUUUUGUGACGGAAGCAAAACAUCUGUGCACGGAAGGAAUAUGUAUUAAAGGUAUCCAAUUGCAAUGUACUAUUGAUUCAUUAAUCUGUGACAUGCCCGCAAAAUCAUUUGUUUUGUGCACAAAAGGGCACUCAGGAUAUUCAAGCUGUUCUUCUUGCAUUGUCGAAGGCGAAUAUAUUAAUGGAAGAGUGUGUUUUCCACAAAUCCGUGCUGCUAAAAGAACAGAUGAUGAUUUUAGAAACAAAGUCGACGACGAAUACCACAAUCUCGGAAUUACCAGUUGUUUAGUCGAAAUUCCUAGUUUUGAUCCAGUAACAAACGUGCCAACUGACCCAAUGCAUCUAUUGUAUUUAGGUAUCAUGCGCAGAAUGCUCUACCUAUUAAUAAACGGCGACUUGCAAUAUCGGCUUCCAAAUGUCGAAGUCGAGCGAAUAUCUUUUCAUUUAAAUGAGAUUGCACCGUACAUUCCUGUUGAAUUUGCGAGAAAGCCGAGAUCACUAAAGUUUAUAAAAUUGUGGAAAGCUACUGAAUUCCGACAAAUUUUAUUGUAUACAGGGCCAGUAGCAUUACGAUUAUUACGUCGUGACAUUUACAAUCACUUUGUGACAUUGCACGUGGCAGUGAGAAUUAUGAGCGAUGAAAAAUUACACGAUUUAUUAGAUUACGCACAAGAACUUAUGGAACAUUUUAUUUCAUCUUUUCAGUUGCUGUAAUAUAUCAGGGGCUCAUAAUAUAUCGUCAAAUGUUCAUCAGGCUGAGCAUCUCAUUUCAUAUAUUAAGAAAUUUGGUCCCAUUCAGCAUUUUAGUGCAUUUAUUUACGAAAAUCAUAUGCAAACGUUUAAAAAACUACUAAGAAAACCUAAUCAACCUCUACAACAAAUUGUACGAAGAUGUGCUGAACAAGAAAAAAAUCGAUCACUACUUGCACCACUGAUACCGCAGACUGUUGAAUUUUCUCUAAACAUUGAAUCUGUUCAUACCGCUUUUGUUCGGUUGUACUGAUCCGCAGUAUAAAGUGAUAAAAUCGUCAAGUAUUGAGUUUACGUGCUCGUUCUUGUGCGGAUAGCUGUUGCAGUUUAAAUGACGGGACUAUUAUUUUGAUACAAAAUAUUGCAUAUUGCUCACAACGAAAAAUUCCAGUAAUCAUUGGCAAUGAAUUUUUAAAAAAAAAGAAUCUAUUUUCGGUACCUUGUGAUUCUGCUAUUCUCGGUAUCUUUUUGGUUCAUAAUUUGUCGGAGUUGAAUUCGUGGCCACUAAGAAAUGUUGAUAAGAAAUAUAUGAAAUUGCCAUAUUUAGAUAAUAAAUUUGCAGUACUGCCACUGUUACAUUUAGAUUAAAAUGAUUAAAACUGUAAUGUCGCAAUUUAGAUAAUGACGGAUUUGGAGAACUAUGUUAUCGUCGAAUUUGACGAUGGUAUUCAAAUAAUACCAAACUUGUGGAUUAACAGUGAUAACUAUGAUAAAGCAGUCAGAUUAAUGGAAGACUGUCAGGACUCUUGGCUCGAAGUUCCAAUUAAAAGAAUUUUAGGCAGCACGGCAUCGUACGAGAAAGCUAGGGAAAAAUUAACAGAUGCCGAAAUUUUCUCGGAUGUGCCAACUGGUUCUGACAGGGACGAAAUGUUAAAACGAACCAGAAAAAUGAGAAAAAGGCACGAUCGAUUCAACGAUGCAUCAUCAGAAGAUGACAAUGUCAUAGAAGUUCCUCCGUUUCCUAUAGUUCCGAAAAAAAAUUUACAAAAAAAAUAUAUAACAAAUAAUAAUGAAAAAAAGAAAGGUAGUU
rnacentral:misc_RNA from 1 species